rfam:Tupaia chinensis contig67304, whole genome shotgun sequence.
AUGCUUGUUUCGGCAGCACAUAUACUAAAACUGGAAUGACGUAGAAAUGAUUAGCAGGGCCCCUGAACAAAGAUAACAUGCAAAUUCAUGAAGCAUUCCAUAUUUUU